CCUACGGGUGGCAGCAGUGAGGAAUAUUGGUCAAUGGCCGGAAGGCUGAACCAGCCAAGCCGCGUGAGGGAGGAAGGCGCAGAGCGUCGCAGACCUCUUUUGCCGGGGGACAAAAGGCCGGACGGGUCCGGGUCUGAGGGUACCCGGAGGAAAAGCAUCGGCUAACUCCGUGCCAGGAGCCGCGGUAAUACGGAGGGUGCAAGCGUUCAUCGGAAUCACGGGGCGUAAAGGGCGCGUAGGCGGGAUAGCAAGUCAGAUGUGAAAUCUUAUGGCUUAACCAUAGAACUGCAUUUGAAACUGUUAUUCUAGAGUAUGGGAGAGGUAGGUGGAAUGCUUGGUGUAGGGGUAAAAUCCGUAGAUAUCAAGAGGAAUACUCAUUGCGAAGGCGACCUGCUAGAACAUAACUGACGCUGAUGCGCGAAAGCGUGGGGAGCAAACAGGAUUAGAUACCCGUGUAGUC
rnacentral:rRNA from 1 species